AGUUUUCCUCCCCAAGAUCUCUCAUUUCUAGACCCUUAUGAAAUUUUUCAGCAAGUUACCCUCAUCUCAUCCCCACAUCAGGAGUGGAGAUGAGGCCUUAAUGUUCUUUUCUAAAAGACACUGUGCCAGGUUCCCAGAGGCCCAGACCCUUCUUAUUUUAGAAGGAAGUUGAACACUACUUUUUCUAUGGAUGGAGAAAAGGAGGUACCACCUCACAGCCCGACAGUCAAUGGACAGAUUGUAAACAGAAGUGAUGUACUCAACGGUGAGCCCUCACCCUCGCAGCUUCCUCCUCUGUCUCCUGGAGCUCAGGUGAGUCCUUGCAGGGUUCUCAACGGUCAGUUAGCCCUGAACCUGUGAGAGGAGAGGACUGCAUGUCCCCCAGUGCUGGAAAGGAGGGUGGUCAGUCAGGGGAAGGUAUUUACAGAUAAGAAAGGACAGGAAAAAAAUCUGUCAGCUCAAGGAGAGCACUGUUCUGUUGGUAGAAAUACACACAGUAAUUAGCUAAAUUCUGAAUGGAAGAGACCAAGUUUAUAAUUGUAUUACAAUAUGGGUUUUAAAAAGAAAAAGAGAAAAACAAUAAAAUGAAACUUUUCUAUCAGGUGAUAAAAAUUAGAAUCUACUUCUAGUUGUGAAGCUCUUAAGUGAUGAGGCUGGAUCUAUCCUCCAAUUAAGUUGUGAAAAGAUUUUCUUUAAAAAAAAAAAAAGAUAGCGGAAGGGGACAGAGUUCAUUAAAAGUGGAAACUGUGAGCCAGGUGACCUGAGACGGGUCAGUCCUGGGUUGAGGAAGGUAGAUGAAGACAUUUAAUCAUUAUAAGCCUGUUUCCUCCUCUGAAAGCGGUGAGGGUUUGACGAGUUGAGCUCUUAGAUCCUUUGUAUCUUUAAAAUCUUACUACUUUUCUAUCAAAAAUGCUCAGUUUCAUAAUUGACACUUGAAUUUCUCCAAAAGCUGUGUGCAAAAUAAUCUCCCAGUGACUGACAGUAUAAAAGCAGUAAGUGUAUAAAGCACCAUCAGUCCUAAGAGCUCAAGGAACGUAAAGCAGCUAAAGAAAAACAUUUGCAAACGCCCUUAUUGUU